UACGAAGGGGGCUAGCGUUGCUCGGAAUCACUGGGCGUAAAGGGUGCGUAGGCGGGUCUUUUAAGUCAGGGGUGAAAUCCUGGAGCUCAACUCCAGAACUGCCUUUGAUACUGAGGAUCUUGAGUUCGGGAGAGGUGAGUGGAACUGCGAGUGUAGAGGUGAAAUUCGUAGAUAUUCGCAAGAACACCAGUGGCGAAGGCGGCUCACUGGCCCGAUACUGACGCUGAGGCACGAAAGCG
rnacentral:rRNA from 1 species